rnacentral:misc_RNA from 1 species
GGAUAAAUGUUGUCAGUAAAGAUCGAAGAAAAAAAAAAUUAAGAACAGUGACAUUUUAUGUUAAACAUUUGACAUGAGCCCAGAUAGAGAAAUUGUUAUUCAUAUUGAAUAUUGCAUACCUGUAAGAGUUUAUACAUGUAUUAGUAUUAAGUUUUAACUCUUUUUGCAACGAGCUGAAGUUUAAAGACCAAACAAUUUUUAUAUUAUGAUUUGAGUUGUAUUUACAAUUUACUGAUAGACAUAUUUUUUUUAACUUUUGAAAAUAUUUGUUCAAAGUAGCUUGGAGUUGUACAUAUCAAAAUGAAGGAAUUUUAAAUUAGUUUAUAAUAAGCGAAUUUUUUCUAACUCUGUUCAAAAUAAUGUGCAACAUACUGUAAGCUUUCUUAUUUUAAAUGAAAUUUGCUACAAUAAAUUUUGUCUG